CCUACGGGAGGCUGCAGUGAGGAAUAUUGGUCAAUGGGCGAGAGCCUGAACCAGCCAAGUCGCGUGAGGGAGUACUGCCCUAUGGGUUGUAAACCUCUUUUGUCGGGGAGCAAAAGCCGGACGUGUUCGGCUGUGAGAGUACCCGAAGAAAAAGCAUAGGUUAACUCCGUGCCAGCAGCCGCGGUAAUACGGAGGAUGCGAGCGUUAUCCGGAUUUAUUGGGUUUAAAGGGGGCGCAGGCGGAUUUUUAAGUCAGAGGUAAAAUCGUGGGGCUCAACCCCAUCCAGCCGUUGAAACUGGGGAUCUAGAGUGUGCGAGAGGUAUGCGGAAUGCGUGGUGUAGCGGUGAAAUGCAUAGAUAUCACGCAGAACCCCGAUUGCGAAGGCAGCAUACCGGUGCACAACUGACGCUCAGGCACGAAAGCGUGGGUAUCGAACAGGAUUAGAUACCCUUGUAGUC
rnacentral:rRNA from 1 species